CUAGGGGGACGGAGAAGGCUAGAUCGACCGAAUGUUGGUUAUCGGCUUAAGUAUUCGAGGUGAUGAGGUCCGGUGAAAACGGUCUGAGCUAAGAUGCGAAUAGGAAAGUGUUAAGACACUGAACCGAUUAAUGUCAUACUUCCAAGAAAAGCCCUAACUACCAUAAGCAAUAAAUACCUGUACCCGAAACCGACACAGGUGGGAUGGUAGAGUAUACCGAGGCGCUUGAGAGAAUGGUGUUGAAGGAACUA
rnacentral:rRNA from 1 species